rfam:Aedes aegypti strain Liverpool supercont1.196 genomic scaffold, whole genome shotgun sequence.
CAAUCGGCCCUUUUCAGAGCCAACAAAUUUGUUUUAAAGAGUUAUUU